rnacentral:rRNA from 1 species
GACGAACGCUGGCGGCGUGCUUAACACAUGCAAGUCGAACGGAAAGGCCCUGCUUUUGUGGGGUGCUCGAGUGGCGAACGGGUGAGUAACACGUGAGUAACCUGCCCUUGACUUUGGGAUAACUUCAGGAAACUGGGGCUAAUACCGGAUAGGAGCUCCUGCUGCAUGGUGGGGGUUGGAAAGUUUCGGCGGUUGGGGAUGGACUCGCGGCUUAUCAGCUUGUUGGUGGGGUAGUGGCUUACCAAGGCUUUGACGGGUAGCCGGCCUGAGAGGGUGACCGGCCACAUUGGGACUGAGAUACGGCCCAGACUCCUACGGGAGGCAGCAGUGGGGAAUAUUGCACAAUGGGCGGAAGCCUGAUGCAGCAACGCCGCGUGCGGGAUGACAGCCUUCGGGUUGUAAACCGCUUUCGCCUGUGACGAAGCGUGAGUGACGGUAAUGGGUAAAGAAGCACCGGCUAACUACGUGCCAGCAGCCGCGGUGAUACGUAGGGUGCGAGCGUUGUCCGGAUUUAUUGGGCGUAAAGGGCUCGUAGGUGGUUGAUCGCGUCGGAAGUGUAAUCUUGGGGCUUAACCCUGAGCGUGCUUUCGAUACGGGUUGACUUGAGGAAGGUAGGGGAGAAUGGAAUUCCUGGUGGAGCGGUGGAAUGCGCAGAUAUCAGGAGGAACACCAGUGGCGAAGGCGGUUCUCUGGGCCUUUCCUGACGCUGAGGAGCGAAAGCGUGGGGAGCGAACAGGCUUAGAUACCCUGGUAGUCCACGCUGUAAACGGUGGGUACUAGGUGUGGGGUCCAUUCCACGGGUUCCGUGCCGUAGCUAACGCUUUAAGUACCCCGCCUGGGGAGUACGGCCGCAAGGCUAAAACUCAAAGGAAUUGACGGGGCCCCGCACAAGCGGCGGAGCAUGCGGAUUAAUUCGAUGCAACGCGUAGAACCUUACCUGGGUUUGACAUGGAUCGGGAGUGCUCAGAGAUGGGUGUGCCUCUUUUGGGGUCGGUUCACAGGUGGUGCAUGGCUGUCGUCAGCUCGUGUCGUGAGAUGUUGGGUUAAGUCCCGCAACGAGCGCAACCCUUGUUCACUGUUGCCAGCACGUUAUGGUGGGGACUCAGUGGAGACCGCCGGGGUCAACUCGGAGGAAGGUGGGGAUGACGUCAAGUCAUCAUGCCCCUUAUGUCCAGGGCUUCACGCAUGCUACAAUGGCUGGUACAGAGAGUGGCGAGCCUGUGAGGGUGAGCGAAUCUCGGAAAGCCGGUCUCAGUUCGGAUUGGGGUCUGCAACUCGACCUCAUGAAGUCGGAGUCGCUAGUAAUCGCAGAUCAGCAACGCUGCGGUGAAUACGUUCCCGGG